CCUCCAGGGGAACCGAGCGCUGCAAUCCGGAGACCGGCGGCUGCAACUCCAAGAGACCUCCUCCUCCCCGCCCCUGGAGGUUGGCAACAAUGUUGUAAUAUCCCCAGCUGCAGGAGUUCCAUCCCUUCCUCUGUGGCAAAAGGAGUAGCCUCCUGAGAUUCAAGAGUAUCAGAGGAAGAUACCAUUCCCUCCCUCCUCUUCCACUGUCACUGAAAAAGGGGAACGAUCCUUACCCAGAGAGGUGACGGUCUCAUAAUUUUCCUCCAUAACUUCCCAGAAGAGUUUUCUUUGGCCUGGAUCCAGCAGAGUCCACUCCUCCUCCGUGAAGAACACGGCGACCUCCUCAAAGGACACUGUGGGUGUCUGAAAAAGGAAAAUGGGGCCUAGUGCAUCAUUGACAAUCCAAGAAAGAAAGAAAAAUCCCGUUGGCCAGUCAACAAAUUGUAAAAAUGCAAAACAUUAAACCAAUGACAAAGAAAAAUGAAUUAGUUUUUUGAGUUCCUCACAGUUCUUAAACACUGGAAGUCUCCAAGAAAUAAAAACAGAAAAUCUGUAAAAAAAAUGGGUUCUCUUGGUCAAGUCCAAUUAAAUUAUUUAAAACCCCUAA